UUUUUCUUUUUUUUUAAAUAAGUCAAGGCAAAAGUCGAUAAGACUUUGUCUUAAAAUCAUGAUUUUUUUUGUAAGUGUGGGCAUGUGUCCUGGAGAAAUGAAAGGGUUAAGAAAAAGAGAGAGAGAGAGAGAGGGGGGAGGGGGAGGGAGAGAGAGAGACUCGUAAUUUUUCGCAUUUUAGAUUACCUGAACAGAAUAACUUAACUUGGUCUAAAGAAGAACAGUGAAGACUAACCAGGAAAACUAAUUUUUAUUUCAGAUUUCUCUGACUGGGCGUGCGGUCACACGGGAAGUGCAGUUCCGGUGGAUGGAGUUCCCUACGGACGCACAAUUCCAGCGGAUGCAGUACCGGAGAAUCCGGUUCGGGCUGAGCAGGGUCGGCGCAAAGAGAUCUCGGCGUAGCGAAACAUUGUCGACCCUGAUUUAGAAGCGGUUCGCCAAAAUAUCCGUCAUACGCCGUCAGAAUGUGACCAUUGAUCGUGUCGCGGGUGCAGUGAGGCGAAGCGAGGUGAAGUGCAAUUAACGCGGCGCCAUGCAGAGCGCCGGACGCGGAACGAAAUUCAGGAGCGACGCGGCGCGCGGGCUAGGCGCAGCGAGUCUCAUCGAUGGAGCCGGCUGUGGACGGACUUGGCCCUGGACGACAAUGGAUCUCGGCGCGAAAUGCCCCGAACUUGCUGGAGGAGGGUCAGCGCGUGGUCUCCAUCGCUAACAACGACAAGUCGCUGGUGAAAUCGAUCGAUUGAACGCAAAGUUACCCCGUGGGACAGAAUUCCGGCGAAAAAGUUCGCACGAAGCUUAUUCGCGGAGGAGGCGCUUCUCGCGGUGAUUUCCCCUUCAGGCUCGGGAAAAAGGACAAUUUGCUCAGAAGAAACGAGAGGAAUGCACAAUAUGGUAGGUUUGGAUUUCGCCCUUGUUCACGUGACCAAAAGAAAGAAAUAAACGACAAAGUAAUGAAAGUCAAAGAAACCUCGCAAUAUGCUUGAGGCAAGGCAUAAAAAUGUAUACUGAAUAUAAUUUCUUGACUGUGCUUAAAUAGUUUCCUAGUAUAAUGCUCUUUUUCUAUACGAUACACACUUUCAUCUCUCUUUUUCUCAUUACAGCUGUCGGAUAUGAUUCUCAGAACUCUCUCUAUGUCGAAGUAUUAAUGGAUAAUUAUUCUAUGAGAUCCCUCGUUAUUACAUGAAGAUGAACGGAAGUCGUUAUAGACGCAGGAGCUUUUAAUUACAAUUCGCAUAAAGCGAUUGCUAUUGUGUCUUCUCUUAUAAAGUACUUUUAUAUCUCGUAUCUCCUCAUCAACCCGUCUCAGCAGCUUUAGGAAACGAAGGGUCCUUAAUAAGAACGUGAACAAAGGAACGCUAGGAAGACAAAUAAUUCAAAGGCCUUUCGAUCGGAGUUUCAAAUAGCAUGACAAACACUCGAAACGCGCCGCUUUCCACUGUAGUACGUUGAUUUCGGCAAAUAGAUCGGAUGUCGAUUGAUUACUCCGAAAUUCUGCCGAAUAUCCGCGGUCGUUAGGUAAUAUACACGUCGAAUUUAUGUAGAGAAAGACAGUAAUAAUAAUAUGCAGAUUGCAUAUUAAUUAAAAAAAAAAGUUCACUUACAGACUUGCUGGAUAAGUUAUAAAUCAAAUUUCAACUUUAGGAAAACUUAUUUAGUACUAACUUAAAAGCGUUGCCUGAGUUAUCACAAAGUCAAUAAGAUGAAAUUAAGAGAGGGUGGAGUGUGCACGUAUAUUCGUGAUAGUUCAUAUCUUCCGCAGGAAAAUUAUGGAGAGUAACGAUAAAAUCUGGUCAAUCAAACGGUUUAGGAGUUUAUAGGGUUUAUAGUUAAAAUAGAUUUAUAUUAUUUAAUAUAUUUUCGACAAAUUCUAAUUGCAAUAAGUACGUUCGGAAAGAUUAGUUUUUUUUUUCAAUAUUACCACGAAUAUUAUAUCCAAAUUAUUUCAUAUUGUUUUGGUUAAAAAAUAUCUUAAAAAAUAUCUCAUAUAAGCGCAAAUAUAUAAAAACAUAAACUGAAUGCCGAGGUACCUUAAUAUACAGUAUGAUUAGCAUAAAAAGAUAUGAAAUCGAUCUCGUUUAAGAACAGGUAAAGUAAGUAAUUAAUAUUUUACAAAGUGGUUCGAUGAUGUAAUUUUCUACUAUCUCUCAGUCUCUUUCUCUUUUCCUUCUCUCUUCUCUCAAGGGAGGUAAUUCGGUGCGUGGGAGAUAUUGACGUUGAUCGAAGUAAAUGCGAUCAAAUAACGGGGAUGUCACGAACGGUAAAUUGACUAUAGAUUAAUUACUCAGGAAUCUUGAUCGUUAUGUGUUCCGUCAUGCGAGUCGCACACACAGAGAAGUGUAUAUGACGUAAAUGCGAUCGGGAUUUAUAGCGCGAAAUUUCAUUACGUUCGCUUGGCGCAAUCCA